GGUUAAGCGACUAAGCGUACACGGUGGAUGCCCUGGCAGUCAGAGGCGAUGAAGGACGUGCUAAUCUGCGAUAAGCGUCGGUGAGGUGAUAUGAACCGUUAUAACCGGCGAUUUCCGAAUGGGGAAACCCAGUGUGUUUCGACACACUAUCAUUAACUGAAUCCAUAGGUUAAUGAGGCGAACCGGGGGAACUGAAACAUCUAAGUACCCCGAGGAAAAGAAAUCAACCGAGAUUCCCCCAGUAGCGGCGAGCGAACGGGGAGGAGCCCAGAGCCUGAAUCAGUGUGUGUGUUAGUGGAAGCGUCUGGAAAGGCGCGCGAUACAGGGUGACAGCCCCGUACACAAAAAUGCACAUACUGUGAGCUCGAUGAGUAGGGCGGGACACGUGGUAUCCUGUCUGAAUAUGGGGGGACCAUCCUCCAAGGCUAAAUACUCCUGACUGACCGAUAGUGAACCAGUACCGUGAGGGAAAGGCGAAAAGAACCCCGGCGAGGGGAGUGAAAAAGAACCUGAAACCGUGUACGUACAAGCAGUGGGAGCCUCUUAAUGGGGUGACUGCGUACCUUUUGUAUAAUGGGUCAGCGACUUAUAUUCUGUAGCAAGGUUAACCGAAUAGGGGAGCCGAAGGGAAACCGAGUCUUAACUGGGCGUUAAGUUGCAGGGUAUAGACCCGAAACCCGGUGAUCUAGCCAUGGGCAGGUUGAAGGUUGGGUAACACUAACUGGAGGACCGAACCGACUAAUGUUGAAAAAUUAGCGGAUGACUUGUGGCUGGGGGUGAAAGGCCAAUCAAACCGGGAGAUAGCUGGUUCUCCCCGAAAGCUAUUUAGGUAGCGCCUCGUGAAUUCAUCUCCGGGGGUAGAGCACUGUUUCGGCAAGGGGGUCAUCCCGACUUACCAACCCGAUGCAAACUGCGAAUACCGGAGAAUGUUAUCACGGGAGACACACGGCGGGUGCUAACGUCCGUCGUGAAGAGGGAAACAACCCAGACCGCCAGCUAAGGUCCCAAAGUCAUGGUUAAGUGGGAAACGAUGUGGGAAGGCCCAGACAGCCAGGAUGUUGGCUUAGAAGCAGCCAUCAUUUAAAGAAAGCGUAAUAGCUCACUGGUCGAGUCGGCCUGCGCGGAAGAUGUAACGGGGCUAAACCAUGCACCGAAGCUGCGGCAGCGACACUAUGUGUUGUUGGGUAGGGGAGCGUUCUGUAAGCCUGUGAAGGUGUACUGUGAGGUAUGCUGGAGGUAUCAGAAGUGCGAAUGCUGACAUAAGUAACGAUAAAGCGGGUGAAAAGCCCGCUCGCCGGAAGACCAAGGGUUCCUGUCCAACGUUAAUCGGGGCAGGGUGAGUCGACCCCUAAGGCGAGGCCGAAAGGCGUAGUCGAUGGGAAACAGGUUAAUAUUCCUGUACUUGGUGUUACUGCGAAGGGGGGACGGAGAAGGCUAUGUUGGCCGGGCGACGGUUGUCCCGGUUUAAGCGUGUAGGCUGGUUUUCCAGGCAAAUCCGGAAAAUCAAGGCUGAGGCGUGAUGACGAGGCACUACGGUGCUGAAGCGACAAAUGCCCUGCUUCCAGGAAAAGCCUCUAAGCAUCAGGUAACAUUAAAUCGUACCCCAAACCGACACAGGUGGUCAGGUAGAGAAUACCAAGGCGCUUGAGAGAACUCGGGUGAAGGAACUAGGCAAAAUGGUGCCGUAACUUCGGGAGAAGGCACGCUGAUAUGUAGGUGAAGCGACUUGCUCGUGGAGCUGAAAUCAGUCGAAGAUACCAGCUGGCUGCAACUGUUUAUUAAAAACACAGCACUGUGCAAACACGAAAGUGGACGUAUACGGUGUGACGCCUGCCCGGUGCCGGAAGGUUAAUUGAUGGGGUUAGCGGUAACGCGAAGCUCUUGAUCGAAGCCCCGGUAAACGGCGGCCGUAACUAUAACGGUCCUAAGGUAGCGAAAUUCCUUGUCGGGUAAGUUCCGACCUGCACGAAUGGCGUAAUGAUGGCCAGGCUGUCUCCACCCGAGACUCAGUGAAAUUGAACUCGCUGUGAAGAUGCAGUGUACCCGCGGCAAGACGGAAAGACCCCGUGAACCUUUACUAUAGCUUGACACUGAACAUUGAGCCUUGAUGUGUAGGAUAGGUGGGAGGCUUUGAAGUGUGGACGCCAGUCUGCAUGGAGCCGACCUUGAAAUACCACCCUUUAAUGUUUGAUGUUCUAACGUGGGCCCCUUACCGGGGUUGCGGACAGUGUCUGGUGGGUAGUUUGACUGGGGCGGUCUCCUCCUAAAGAGUAACGGAGGAGCACGAAGGUUGGCUAAUCCUGGUCGGACAUCAGGAGGUUAGUGCAAUGGCAUAAGCCAGCUUGACUGCGAGCGUGACGGCGCGAGCAGGUGCGAAAGCAGGUCAUAGUGAUCCGGUGGUUCUGAAUGGAAGGGCCAUCGCUCAACGGAUAAAAGGUACUCCGGGGAUAACAGGCUGAUACCGCCCAAGAGUUCAUAUCGACGGCGGUGUUUGGCACCUCGAUGUCGGCUCAUCACAUCCUGGGGCUGAAGUAGGUCCCAAGGGUAUGGCUGUUCGCCAUUUAAAGUGGUACGCGAGCUGGGUUUAGAACGUCGUGAGACAGUUCGGUCCCUAUCUGCCGUGGGCGCUGGAGAACUGAGGGGGGCUGCUCCUAGUACGAGAGGACCGGAGUGGACGCAUCACUGGUGUUCGGGUUGUCAUGCCAAUGGCACUGCCCGGUAGCUAAAUGCGGAAGAGAUAAGUGCUGAAAGCAUCUAAGCACGAAACUUGCCCCGAGAUGAGUUCUCCCUGAGACUUAGAGUCUCCUGAAGGAACGUUGAAGACGACGACGUUGAUAGGCCGGGUGUGUAAGCGCAGCGAUGCGUUGAGCUAACCGGUACUAAUGAACCGUGAGGCUUAACCUU
rnacentral:rRNA from 1 species